ACUGGAGUCCACACGUGGGCUCUACCGGCAAGAGAGAAAUGACAACUGGUUCAGGACUCCUGCCAGCCUCUAGAGAAAUCCUGGAAUAUACAGCUCUGACACGUUAAUACCCUGCACAGAUCGAGAGACUCGUGGUCUCCCAGAUUCUCAUCAAGCCAUUGGACUUCUCUUCCAUAAACGUGUUCUCACCACAGC